CUCAACGGAACCAAACCCAGACGUCUGAAUGGCAAUUUGACCUAUAAAUUUAAAAUUUUAAGGAUGUUGUGAAAGCGUGAUACAGUCUGGUCUGCAACACAUAUGGUUUUGAUACUGAGACUUCUUUGUAAUUUGAAAUCAAAGAGAUUUCUUUGUAAGCACCAAAAGAGAGAGAUUGCUUUGUAGCAGAAAUUCUAACUCGUUCCCAACUUGGUUACGGGUUAACUGAGUCUGGGCAAGGCGAAAAAGGGCAGUACUGCUAAAGUUUUGUGUGUUGGAACGGCUGAUACUAAGCUUGACGAGCUCCAAUUCCUAGCUGAAUCAGUUCGAUCCUCUCUCACCACCUUCUUUUACAGCUCUUCCUCCAAGGUAGAAGUUGUGAUAGUUGAUGUUUCUGCCGGUCAAAAGGAAACUGAGAGUUUGAGUGAUUUCAAAUUUGUUACAAGGAACUUCUUUUAUGCUAUUCUGAAUCAAUUGGAGAAAACCCAAUUGUGGUUCCAGAUGAUAGAGAUAAAGCUGUUGGUGUUAUGAGUAAAGCGCUUGAAUAUUUUAUAAAGAAAGCUCAGGCUGAUGGUGUUGUUGCUGGAGCUAUUGGCCUUGGAGGCACUGGAGGCACAUCUUUGCUAUCAUCUGCUUUCAUAUCUCUUCCUAUUGGUGUGCCAAAACUCAUUAUAUCGACUGUAGCUAGUGGUCAAACAGAACCUUAUGUUGGAACAUCGGAUUUGAUUUUGUUUCCAUCUGUUGUGGAUAUCUGUGGGAUUGAUAGUGUUAGUAGAGUUGUGUUAUCAAAUACCGGAGCUGCUUUGGCUGGAAUGGUGAUUGGAAGGCUUGAAAAGUUCCAAGACUCUUGUAGCAAAGGUAAAAAGAGCACGGUGGGUAUAACUAUGUUUGGGGUCACAACUCCAUGUGUUCAUGCUGUGAAAGAAGGAUUGCAGAAGCAAGGUUUUGAAACCCUCAUUUUCCAUGCCAUUGGGGUGGGAGGCAAGGCUUUGGAAUCAUUGGUUAGAGAGGGAUAUAUACAGGGAGUUUUGGACAUUACAACUACAGAGGUUGCAGAUUAUGUAGUUGGAGGUGUGAUGGCUUGUGACAGUUCCCGUUUUGAUAUUAUUACAGAGAAGAAGAUCCCUUUGGUCCUCAAUGUUGGAGCCUUAGAUAUGGUGAACUUUGGACCUAAAGAUACCAUACCUUCUAAUUUUCAGUAAAGAAAGAUUCAUGUCCACAAUGCCCAGGUGAUAAGUCCAUAUAGCAUUGGUUUUUCUCCCUUGCCUUUUGAAGUUGUAAUGUCCAUAUGGUAGAGAAAUCAUUAUAUCAUUAUAUCGUCCUUUUAUAUUUGGAAUUAGAUGGUUAAAUGGGUUUUGUUUAUACUUUUUACCAAAAUAACGUAUCAGAUCCAUCUUCUCUUGGUCCCACUCUGAAAAUUUUGGAGAGAUAUGUCAAAUGGCCAAUUAUUCUGGAUUUUUACCAUGUUUGCUGUUGUCUAAUGUGCCUUCUAUGUAUCAAUGUGGGUGAUUGAAGGUAUCGCUCAUGCGAACCACAGUAGAUGAGAAUAAAAAAUUUUCUGGCUUUAUAGCUGAUAAACUGAACAAGUCUUCAUCAAAGAUCUGUGUUUGCCUUCCACAAAAGGGUGUUUCUGCAUUAGAUGCAUCAGGGCAGCCCUUCUAUGAUCCUGAGGCUACUGGUACUCUCUUAAAUGAACUGAAGAGACUUGUUCAGAUAAAUGAAGACCGACAGAAACUUUACAAAGAACUCAAGGAAUAUUGCAGCAACUCGGAGAUCAAAUAUCUAAAGGACUGCCCAUAGUUGGAGCUGGUGCAGGGACUGGAAUAUCAGCAAAAUUUGAGGAGGCUGGUGGUGUUGAUUUGCUAGUUUUGUACAAUUCAGGACGUUUUUGUAUGGCAGGAAGCGGUUCUUUGGCAUGCUUAUUACCCUUUGCUGAUGCAAAUGCUAUAGUCUAGAGAUGGCAAAUGAAGUACUGCCAGUAAGUUUUGAAAUGCUUGCUUGUCUCAUCACUUAGCAUCUACACUAGUGCAAAUCUUUUCUUUGUGAUCACUCAUUAGCAUUUGUUUCAAAAUUUAUUUCUGUAGUUGAAAAAGGCAAAUGACUAGACUUUUUUUAUUUUUAUUUCGAUACUGUCCUUGUUGACUCCUCGUUGCCUUUUUUGCUUCAUGAAGUGCUUCUUUAGGAGUUAAAUUUUCAUUUGUCCAUAUUUCUAUAGAAAGUAUCUCUUGUUUUUCAUUAUCAUUCCCACAACAAUGAAUGCUAUUAUUUGCAUUUUGAACAGGCCCUUAAAUCAUUGUACUAUUGUUCAUGCAUUAACUGUCAAUAUACAGCAUAGAAAUACCCUAUGUUCUUCUUUGCAAUUAUUUGAUUUUGAAAACUUUCCCAAUAAAAUUUCUCACUAAUUUCAGCAUCAUCUUUGGAUGAUUUCCCUCUUACUCAUAGCUGCAAAUAUUCAUAGGUGGUAAAGUUAGUACCAGUUCUUGCUGGAGUAUGUGGAACUAAUCGUUUUCGCCGAAUGGAUUACUUCCUAAAGCAAUUGGAGUCAAUCGGGUUCUCUGGAGUGUCAUAACGUCUAGAUCCGGGGAUCUAUCGCUAGACAUUGACUUUUAGGAGUCGCCACCAA